AGAAGGAAAUCAUGGCCUCCCACUCCCGAUGGAGGCCCCAAUGUCUUGUCUCCCUUUUUUCACUGUCUGGGUGUCUGGGGCGCAUAGCGACACGGAACCGCCGGCUCGCUGGCCGGCUGCCCGUCCGGUCACGUGCUUGCGUCCCGACACCCACCAUAAAACCUAUGUUCUCUAAAUACACGCUCUCACUUCUCCUCUACCGACUGUGACGCCAACACCAUCCGCGGACCCCCGGCUCCGACGAGGGCGGCCGAAAUGGCCGGCCCACAAUUGGUGCCAGCGGUGGUGGUUGGUUGUCGGUGGAGGACUUUUGGCUUCAGUCCUUGAGUUUCUGUUACCCAUCUGGGAGUGGCCACUAUCUGACUCCCCGAACAUCGACUACGGAGAAACGCCGAUACGCAUCACGGUCUGCAAAAGCUGGCUGAUCAUAGUUAUGAUGGGAUUGGACGCUCAUCGCCGACCCGUCUGGCUGUCUCAGUCGCUCUGCAUCUGGUCCACAAUCACACACUGCAACUGCGGACGCCAUCACCGACUGCAACGGCUGCAACUGCAACCAGCAGGUGGCCUAGGUCCAAAGCCAACGCCUGGCUGACCCACAUGGCCGCCUGCCGUCGCUGCUACCUCAUCUGCUCAUCGUGCUUCGCUGUUCUCCGUCCGUUCGUCCGUCACUCUCGUCGCCCGUGCCAGCCGCCAUCACCAUGGCUGAACGCACCAUCGCCGCCAUCAACGCGCUGUCGAUCAAAGGGGUCACCAACACCCUCGCCAAUUCCACCAGCUUCCGGUACGCUGACGUCUCCGGUAUCGGUGCUGUGCGGCGGCAGCCAACGCUCCGUUGACAGGUGUGGCCAAACUGUCACGGCGCACCCUGGCCGCUGCCCCUCUCGAUCAACUCGGACAUCAUCUACCCGCAGAGGUGCCUGGCGCAUAACAUCGACAACGACAGAACAUGGCGACAACGAUAACGACGACGACUAGCGAUGACGACAAAACCGAAUCGGAGAGCAGCGACAACAGCAGCAGCAGUAGUAGCAACAACAGGCGUACCAAUUUCAGUAGCAGCAGCAGCCGUACCUGCGGCAGCAGCAGCCGUAGCUGCAGCAGCAGCAGUCGUACCUGGCGUUCCAUGCGAGGUGUCAUACGUGGAUCUAUGCAGUUAGGAUCGUGAUUGCUUAUUGGUCGCCUCCUCUUGUCGGCUUGUUGGGGGAGGAAAGAUAUGUGGAGAAGGAAAUCAUGGCCUCCCACUCCCGAUGGAGGCCCCAAUGUCUUGUCUCCCUUUUUUCACUGUCUGGGUGUCUGGGGCGCAUAGCGACACGGAACCGCCGGCUCGCUGGCCGGCUGCCCGUCCGGUCACGUGCUUGCGUCCCGACACCCACCAUAAAACCUAUGUUCUCUAAAUACACGCUCUCACUUCUCCUC